rnacentral:lncRNA from 1 species
GGGUAAGGUCUGCGUACACACUACCCUCCCCAGACCCCACUAAGUGGGAUUAUACUGGGUUGUUGUUGUUGAUCAAAUAGUCCGUACAGUACGUAAAAAGCAUACACUUCUCUUGAGAAAAAUGAUCCCUUGUCUUUGAGGAGGUUAGGUCCUUUAAUAUAUACAAAAAAUCUAAAAAUUUGGUCUCCAUCCAUAUUUAAAAGGGAAAAGGGCCAAAUAAACCCCUCAAUUUUGAGGCUCGGAUCUGUCAUAAGAUCAGCAGAGACAAUGCAACCGCCAUGGCUGCAUACCUCAGUUGCAAACACGAAGAUGCCUUCCGGGUCGCCCCGCCAAGAUACGGGUCGUUCCAAUGCCCGAUCCAGCUCUAAACACAUUUUAUCAUCACAGCUUCAUCAUCUGUCACAGUAAAAGACUGCCAUGAGGAAGAGGAUGACGAAAAGUAGGAAAGAAGUGAAGAAGCAUAAGCAGAUUAUGGGGUGAGACAGUAAACCCUAAACUGUAAAAUUGAGAUUUUUACAGUUGCAAGUUUAAGGGGCAAUCUAUGUCCAUUUUCAACAAUGGUGGUUUAUUAGUACAGCAAAAUGGAACAGGAAAUCAUAGGCAGAAAACAGAGAGAGGGCAACCACCAUUAAAGACUCCCCACUGCCUCAUUCUUUCAGUCUAGAGUUCGUGAGAAUAUCUUUCAACACAAAUGUCGAUUCUUUCACCAUUUUAGUCCAAAAUAUCAGAGAAUUUUAAAUUAGAAAAAAAACUUCCUUGAAACAAAUCUAUUCACCUUUAUUUAAAAAAGAUAAAACUGUUAAUUAUGUAAUCAUCUAUGUGACAGGAACUGUACAUAUGUAAAUUCUAAUAUAAUGACUUCAAUCACUAUCUUUACAGAAAUUCCUAAACAAAAGAUUCAGCAAACUAAAAUGAAAAGCAAAUGUAACUUCACUAAAGGAAUUUAUUUUUAAAAUUUUUUGGUUUUGGGNNNNNNNNNNNNNNNNNNNNNNNNNNNNNNNNNNNNNNNNNNNNNNNNNNNNNNNNNNNNNNNNNNNNNNNNNNNNNNNNNNNNNNNNNNNNNGGGGGGGGGGAGGGGGGGAUGUAUUUUGAGGCUCAAAUCUUUGAUAAAAUCGGGGCAAAGAAGACAAAGCAACCGCCAUGACUGCAAACCUCGGUUGCACGGUAAAAAUAGGCCUUUCCGGGUCACCCUGCCGAGAUACGGGCUGCUCCAUUGCCCCGACGCGAACUCUAGACAAUCUUAAUCAUCAUAGCCUCAUCCGCUACAAUAACAAUAAGAAUAAUGGUAAUAAUAGGCUGAAUACAUACACGGCCCUUAUAUAUAUGUACUUUCGAUUAUUGUCGAAAGUUCAGAUCAAGGCUCAGAACCAAACGACCCCUUAAGAAGAAUGGUGGUUUAUUGUUACAUUUUCUUUUGGGAAAAAUGGAAAAGGAAAUUACAGGAAGAAAUCAGAGAGAGGGCAACCACCAUUAGAGACUCGCCACUGCCUCUCAGCUCCCUCAUUCUUUCCGUCUUAGAGUUGAGUGGCAAAAUACUCUCUUUCCCAUGUUAUUCUAGAAUUAACUAUUUAUUCACAUAUACUUCUUUUUUGAUAAGGUCACUUCUUAUGAUAUUUCUCAUGAUAUGAUUUGGUUUUUUCUUAUUAUGUCAUUUAAGAUAACUAAGUUUGUAAUUACAUUUUUUUAGGCAUCAGCCGCAUUCCCCAAUAGGUUAUUCUUUUGCUUUUCAUCUAUGUUCUUGCGAUGUUGUUAUUUCUUUCUAUGGCUUUAUUGAUGGUACUGAUAUAUUGUCUCUCUUCGUCUUCUUGAGCCGAGGGUCUAUCGGAAACGGACUCUCUACCCCUCGGAUAGGGUAAGGUCUACGUACACACUACCCUCCCCUGACCCCACUAGUGGGAUUGCACUGGGUCGUCGUCGUUGUUGUUGCAGCCGCAUUCCUCAAUAGCUUCUAAAGAAGAAUCUCGAAGCCAAGGCAACAAAGAAGAUGAAACCAACAGAUACGAAUAACGAAUAUUUGGAUCAGUAAACAGAAACAAAGUCACAAACAGAACCACAGGAAACUGAUUUUAAUUUUUUGCUUGUUCUAUAUUAAGGUUGGUAAAGUAGAGAUAGGUAGCCGCCUCUUAUAGAAAUUGCCUUCUGUCUUUUACCCAGAGGCAGAUUUACAUGGUGGCAAGCGGUGUCACGGGACACCACUUCGUCGAAAUUUUUUACUAUUUAUAUAUAAAAAAAUAAUAAGUAAAACAGAAAUACAAGAUAAAACCAUAAAAAGUGACACCACUUGCAACAAAACAUUUUAGUAGUGUAGUGGUUGUUAGCUUCAAGUAUCAUGUGAGAGGUCUUGGGUUCGAACUUUCUUGGCUCCACAAAACAUUUUUUGACUGUUACAGCCCUUUUACUAAAAAUAGUGACACCACUUAUGAAAAAUCCUGCCUACGCCACUGCUUUUACCUCAUUCUCUCUUCUCUUUAUUUUGAUGAAAAUUUUGGGUUCUUCUAACAUACCUUCAGUCAACACUAGCCUCCCACUACAAGACUCAAACGGGUUUUUCUUGGUAAUUAAUAAGUUACAUUUCCAGAAAGUUGACAAUACUGUUUAAGACUAACUAGUAUACCAUCACAACAUCCAACUAUUAUCACAUCGGAAGGAUACAUCCUUUUACAUAUUCAAAAUUAUAUGGAAAUAAAUAUGAAAAUGGUAGCUGGCAUUUGAGAAAGAAAAAAAAUCAAGUGCUUAAUCAAGGUCUUACCAGAUAAGGAGGGCAACUACAUAGCAAAAUCCCACAUUUUCACUCUAAUGCUUCAUUCAUGAGCUUUCACAGAUAAAAUAAAUUGGCGACACAUUAAGAGUGCAAAAUCAUUACAAAUUGUAAUCAGGAGGGUGUGAGUUCUAUAUCUCCCAGAUCGAAAAGAUAAUAUUAUCUAUAGCAAAUUGAGGCCCAGAUGUGUCAUGAUUAGGGGAGCCUUGGAUUGUGUCUCCCUUAUGGUAGUUAUUUAUGGUAGUUACUGUCUGAUAUUAUUUCAUGCUCAGCAAGUACACAUGGCAAGAAUGUAAAUCCUAUCUGUCAGAAAAUUGACAGAAGAAAACAAAAAUAUUACUAUGAGAAUGACAAAUGGAAAAGAGACUAGAGAUUAUAAGUGUGUGCUAUAUUCGUAGUUUUAGAUAAUUAUUUACGCUAUUUCUGCUGGACUUACAAAUGCUCUUUUGUUUUUAUUUUUGUUUUUGUUUUUCCUUUCCUUUCCUUUCCUUCACUGAGCCGAGGGUCGAUUGGAAACAGCCUCUCUGCCCUUUCAGGGUAGGGGUAGGGGUAAGGCCCGUCUACAUAUUACCCUCCCCAGACCCCACUUCGUGGGACUAUACUGGGUAGUUGUUGUUGUUGUUGUUGUUAUUUUUGUAUAACCUAUAGGUCACGGGUUUGAGCUGUGGAAGCAGGAACUAAUGCUUGCAUUAGGAUAGGCUAUUUACAUCGUGCACAUUGGGGUCGGCCCUUCCCCGCAUCCUGCCUGAAUGCAGGAUGCUUAUGUGUAACGAUAAGGCAGAAUAGAAGCCACAACCACGCCAUGACGGCAAAACACCGGUUGCAUGUGAGAGAGAAGAGUCUCAACCACAAGCCAUACCGAGUGUCAUGCCAAGAUACGGGUCGGGUAAUCUCUAGCCCCAAUUAAUUUAACCCAGAUAGAGUAAAACCAAUUAUCAUCACUGCAUCUUUAGUAUAGUUUAUGGUAUUGGGUUUUGAGUAUAUGUUAGGGAAUGCAAAAAUGCAAAGAAAUCCAAAAAUUAAAGUGUUGAUCAUCUCUCUUUCUCUCUUGCGUUUUUAAGGGCUGUUGGUUUGUUAAAAGAAAUGGUAAAGCAUAGGGGAAACAGAGAGGGAUAACCACCCUUUAAAGAAAAUCCCAUACUUUCUCUGUUGCCUCGUUCUCGCCAUUUCUGGGCUAAUCUAAUCCAUAAUAUAAUACAGCAGGUUUUUGGGAAAAUGGUCAAAUAGUAUGUAAAAGUGUACACUUUUCAUGCGAAAUUUACAAAAAUGAUUACCUAUCUUUGAGGGAGGGGAUUCUUGGGGUAAAGUUUGUUGUCAUGUGACCAAGAUUGUCCAGCAGUGAAAAUGCAGGAUAAGUAGGCAUACAAUAGACAUUUGUAGUCCAGACCCGCGUGCUGCCCGAUCCCUCUUAAAUAGUGCUUUUCAGCACUCGGAAAGCUAUACUCUAAAUUCAGCUAAGCCAAACAAGCUCUCACUUUCAAUUUUGAGGCUCAGACCUGUGAUAAAUCAGUCAAUGGAGACAAUGCAACCGCCAUGGCUGCAGGCCCGGUUGCAACCACGAAGAUGCCUUCCGGAUUGCCCCGCCAAGAUGCGGGUCGCUCCAUUUGCCCGACCCGACUCUAGACAACUUUAAUCAUCACAGCCUCAUCAUCCGUCAGAUUAAAAGCUAGCAUAGGAAAAGGGAGGAAAGAAGUGAAGAAGCAGAAGCAGAAGCAGAUUAUGGGUUUAGAUAGUAAACCCUAAACUGUAAAAUUGGGAAGUUUAAGGGGCAAUCUAUGACCAUUUUCUAGCAAUGGUGGUUUAUUAGUACAACAAAAUGUAAAAGGUAAUCAUAGGAAGAGAAAGAGGGCAACCACCAUUAGAGACUCCCAACUACCUCUCUGCUUCCUCAUCCUUUCCGUCUAGAGUUGAGUGGCAAAAUACUCUUUCCCAGGUUUUUAUCCUCCAGUAGCCUGUUGUCAGUUGUAUCAUCCCUUCACUUUUAUGCCCUUCCUUUUG